rnacentral:rRNA from 1 species
AGUGAACGCUGGCGGCAUGCCUAACACAUGCAAGUCGAACGGCAGCACAAUCAGGGUUUGCUGUUACGGGGCGAGAGGCGCGCGGGUGUGAGGUACACAGCAGCAUCUACUUUUUCGGGGGGGAUCACGUAGAGAGACUUACUCAUAUACCGCACGACAUCUGCGUGUGAAAGGGGGGGAGCUUCGCCCCUUGCUAGAUGGGAUGCCGCGGUCUCGGUUUAGCUAGUUGGCGGGGUAAAGGCACACCAAGGCGACGAUCUGUAGCUGGUCUGAGAGGACGAUCAGCCACACUGGAACUGAGACACGGUCCAGACUCCUACGGGAGGCAGCAGUGGGGAAUUUUGGACAAUGGGCGAAAGCCUGAUCCAGCAAUACCGCGUGUGUGAAGAAGGCCUUCGGGUUGUAAAGCCCUUUUGUCGGGAAAGAAAUGCCUCAGGUUAAUACCCGGCGUUGAUGACGGUACCGGAAGAAUAAGCACCGGCUAACUACGUG